rnacentral:rRNA from 1 species
CCUUGUACACACCGCCCGUCAAGUCAUGGGAGNUUGGGAGUACCCGAAGUCCGCUUAGCUAACGCAAGAGGCGGCGGCCGACGGUAAGCCCGAUGACUGGGACU